AGCCAUGCAGGUCGCCGCGCUGCUCAUCUGUCUGCUGCUGACCGCGAAUACGUCACAGGUUCAGGCGCAGCCCGAGCGCUGGGAGUUAAACUGGAGGGAAAAGGAUCCAGAGGACACUAUUUCCAUUUCAUCAGGGAAAGGUGUCUCAAAUGCUGAGAUUUAUGUAUGACCGGAAGUGCUGCAACUGUUACAUCUUAGGAACAGGCCCAUAAAAAACACUUCAAUACUAUGCCAGCAUGGGUGCUAGGAAGUGAACAAGAAAAAUCAUCAGUGGUAAUUCUGCUGCCUGAAGGCUCAGCAGAUAAUGAACACAUUUUCUGAUGUUCAGAUGGACAAUGAAAUUUAUUCUUUCAAACAUUGUGUCAGUAGGAUAUAAAUAUCAAGAACAACAGAAAUUUACACUACCUUAAACAAAUAAUAAGUUGCCAUUGAGCAGCUAUAUGUAAUAGGAAUAAUGCACAGAAUAACAGAAAUCUAAUUCAAACUCCAUAUAAUACAUCAUAGACUUCUGUUGUCAAACCUCAUCACAGCUCUUCCAAUCCACUUGAUUGAGCUUUUGUUUCUGAUUGGUUGGAAAGAAUGAACUGACAACACUGAGAAAUUACGUAUCUAGUCUGACUGUAACUAUUUUUGCAUGCGGUCAUCACUGUUUUCCUUCCUAGUUAUUUAUGAAUUUCAUGUACAAGGCAUAGAUUACAAGUGUGAAUAACUUUUACACACAUAAAAGUGAAUGAGUGAAAGAUGCAGUCAAAAUAUUUUGUAUGUAUGUAAAUUUGACUUCAAUUCAUUUUUAGCUGUGUUUCUCUGUCAUUCUAAUAACC